CUCCCGUCAGUCAUUGACUCUUUAUCCGACCUGAGCAGAAAGCCGGCUGCUGUUCGGCUCCGGAUCAAGCACGCACAGGCGCAAAGCAUCAACUUUCAGGAAC
ensembl:ncRNA F10D7.6 ncRNA